CCUACGGGUGGCUGCAGUGGGGAAUAUUGGACAAUGGGCGAAAGCCUGAUCCAGCCAUGCCGCGUGUGUGAAGAAGGCCUUCGGGUUGUAAAGCACUUUCAGUGGGGAAGAAAGCCUUGGGGCUAAUACCCUCGAGGAAGGACAUCACCCACAGAAGAAGCACCGGCUAACUCCGUGCCAGCAGCCGCGGUAAUACGGAGGGUGCGAGCGUUAAUCGGAAUUACGGGGCGUAAAGCGCGCGUAGGCGGUCUGAUAAGCCGGUUGUGAAAGCCCCGGGCUCAACCUGGGAACGGCAUCCGGAACUGUCAGGCUAGAGUGCAGGAGAGGAAGGUAGAAUUCCCGGUGUAGCGGUGAAAUGCGUAGAGAUCGGGAGGAAUACCAGUGGCGAAGGCGGCCUUCUGGACUGACACUGACGCUGAGGUGCGAAAGCGUGGGUAGCAAACAGGAUUAGAUACCCCUGUAGUC
rnacentral:rRNA from 1 species